rnacentral:rRNA from 1 species
UACGUAGGGUGCAGGCGUUGUCCGGAAUUAUUGGGCGUAAAGAGCUCGUAGGCGGUCUGUCGCGUCUGCUGUGAAAACUCGGGGCUUAACCCCGGGCCUGCAGUGGGUACGGGCAGACUAGAGUGCGGUAGGGGAGACUGGAAUUCCUGGUGUAGCGGUGAAAUGCGCAGAUAUCAGGAGGAACACCGGUGGCGAAGGCGGGUCUCUGGGCCGUAACUGACGCUGAGGAGCGAAAGCAUGGGGAGCGAACAGG